rfam:Myotis brandtii contig257638, whole genome shotgun sequence.
GGCAGUUCUCGGGUGAUGCACCCCGGAAUCGGGCUCCCUCCUCUCUGGUUCCAGGGUGCAUCACCCGAGAACCACU